AGCGAACGCUGGCGGCAGGCCUAACACAUGCAAGUCGAGCGGCCGUAGCAAUACGGCAGCGGCAGACGGGAGAGUAACACGUGGGAACGCGCCCUUCGGUUCGGGAUAACUCAGGGAAACUUGGGCUAAUACCGGAUACGCCCUUACGGGGAAAGAUUUAUUGCCGAAGGAACGGCCCGCGUCCGAUUAGCUAGUUGGUGAGGUAACGGCUCACCAAGGCGACGAUCGGUAGCUGGUCUGAGAGGAUGACCAGCCUCACUGGGACUGAGACACGGCCCAGACUCCUACGGGAGGCAGCAGUGGGGAAUAUUGGACAAUGGGCGCAAGCCUGAUCCAGCCAUGCCGCGUGGGUGAUGAAGGCCCUAGGGUUGUAAAGCCCUUUCAGCGGGGAAGAUAAUGACGGUACCCGCAGAAGAAGCCCCGGCUAACUUCGUGCCAGCAGCCGCCGUAA
rnacentral:rRNA from 1 species